rnacentral:misc_RNA from 1 species
UCCUCUUUACAGAGGCAGUUUGUCUCGAGUCCCCGGCUUGAUCCGCUGGUAACAAGACAUGAGGGUUGCGCUCGUUGCGGGACUUAACCCAACAUUUCACAACACGAGCUGACGACAGCCAUGCACCACCUGUGAUACACCCUCGAAGGCGGCUGACUUUCACCAGCUUGCAGUAUCAUGUCAAGCCCUGGUAAGGUUCUUCGCGUUGCAUCGAAUUAAGCCACAUGCUCCACCGCUUGUGCGGGCCCCCGCCAAUUCCUUUGAGUUUCAACCUUGCGGCCGUAGUCCCCAGGCGGCUCACUUAAUGCGUUAGCUGCGGCACCGAAGGAUUCCCCCGACACCUAGUGAGCAUCGUUUAUGGCCAAGACUAC